CUUGAAUCGGGUGGCGUCCGGUGACUUCCGGCUUCACUUUCGUGUACUAUAGAUGCGUUAUCCAGUCUUAGUAUAGAUCAGUGAUCUGAACCAGUUAUGUAGUCCCUGCAGAAUAUUUCGAAAUUCUAGAAAAUGGUAUUUUUACCAUUUGAGGACGUAAUCGGACAACACUAGGUUUUGUUAUUGUUGUUGUUAGCAAGUAAUAAAUUGUCUUUGAAUGUAAUAAAAUGAC